UACUCAUCAAGAGUGGUGGAGGGACUGGCCCAAUGAAGCCGCGGCAACCAUUUAGCAUGUUUAUGUUAAAAACGGUGCCAAUUCCGACGGUAAAACCGUGAGAUGGGAG
rnacentral:ncRNA from 2 species